rfam:Felis catus isolate Cinnamon breed Abyssinian chromosome F2, whole genome shotgun sequence.
GCCUGGGUGGCUCAGUCGGUUGAGCAUCCGACUUCAGCUCAGGUCACGAUCUCGCGGUCCGUGAGUUCGAGCCCCGCGUCAGGCU